rnacentral:rRNA from 1 species
CCUACGGGAGGCAGCAGUGAGGAAUAUUGGUCAAUGGGCUUACGCCUGAACCAGCCAAGUCGCGUGAGGGAAGACUGCCCUAUGGGUUGUAAACCUCUUUUGUCAGGGAGCAAUUGGCGCUACGUGUAGCGUUAUCGAGAGUACCUGAAGAAAAAGCAUCGGCUAACUCCGUGCCAGCAGCCGCGGUAAUACGGAGGAUGCGAGCGUUAUCCGGAUUUAUUGGGUUUAAAGGGUGCGCAGGCGGAAUGUCAAGUCAGCGGUAAAAUUUCGGGGCUCAACCCCGUCGUGCCGUUGAAACUGGCGUUCUUGAGUGAGCGAGAAGUAUGCGGAAUGCGUGGUGUAGCGGUGAAAUGCAUAGAUAUCACGCAGAACUCCGAUUGCGAAGGCAGCAUACCGGCGCUCAACUGACGCUCAUGCACGAAAGCGUGGGUAUCGAACAGGAUUAGAUACCCUUGUAGUC